UGCCAGCCGCCGCGGUAAUACGGAGGGGGUUAGCGUUGUUCGGAAUUACUGGGCGUAAAGCGCACGUAGGCGGAUUAGUAAGUUAGGGGUGAAAUCCCCGGGCUUAACCUGGGAACUGCACUCGAUACUGCAUAACUAGAGUAUGGUAGAGGGAAGUGGAAUUUCCGGUGUAGCGGUGAAAUGCGUAGAUAUCGGAAGGAACACCAGUGGCGAAGGCGACUUCCUGGGCCAAUACUGACGCUGAGGUGCGAAAGCGUGGGGAGCAAAACGGAUUAGAUA
rnacentral:rRNA from 1 species